AAGCUCCAUGGGCUGGAGAUGUUCUCAUGAUCUUUUUCAGUGAGGUCUUAGGGGUUCCGAACUCUCAGACAGAUUCUCGUGACUUUCCCUCAGAGCUGAUGAGAUCAGGAGUC
ensembl:misc_RNA